rnacentral:rRNA from 1 species
GAUCAGUGGCUCGAGACGACGCUGGCGGCGUGCCUAACACAUGCAAGUCGAACGGAGUGAUGACUUCGGUUAUCACUUAGUGGCGAACGGGUGAGUAACGCGUGAGGAACCUGCCUCUCAGUGGGGGACAACAGUUGGAAACGACUGCUAAUACCGCAUAACACUUUAGUACCGCAUGGUACAGAAGUCAAAGCUUAAUGUGCUGAGAGAUGGUCUCGCGUCUGAUUAGCUAGAUGGCGGGUAACGGCCCACCAUGGCGACGAUCAGUAGCCGGUCUGAGAGGAUGAACGGCCACAUUGGGACUGAGAUACGGCCCAGACUCCUACGGGAGGCAGCAGGUGGGGAAUAUUGGGCAAUGGGGGAAACCCUGACCCAGCAACGCCGCGUGAAGGAAGAAGGCCUUCGGGUUGUAAACUUCUUUUAGCAGGGACGAAGAACGUGACGGUACCUGCAGAAAAAGCAACGGCUAACUACGUG